AGGGGAAACAUGGCAGCGAAUAAUGCCCUCUUCAAAAAUAUGAAGGUUCCAGAGCUACACAAGUUUUUAAAAGAAAUUAGAGAAGAAUUAAGUUAUCAAGUUUCAAAUUGAAAGCUGUGAGAAUUGAAAUAUGUGUAGAAAACUGAUGGUGUCCAAUAUUUAAACGCGGAGGGCUGUUUUGGAUGAUCAAUUGACUUCAAAUUCUCCUCAUGAUCAUCUGUAUCUCUGACCACCUUGGACUGAAUUAUGGCUAAGAGUUUGGACAUGAAGCUGCAAUCAAUGCCAAUAGCACAGUGAAUCAAAGAGAAGCUCAGAUACCUCCAGAUGAUGACAUCAAGCCAAGGCCACCUAGUGGAGGAGGUUCUAGUAGUGGAGAAGGUUCUAGCAGUGGAGGAGGUCACAUUGGAUUUGAGGGCUAUGGAGCAGGCUCUAACAGGCCUGGUAUUCGACCCAUGACAGGAGGUAACAUGGGAUAUGCAGCAUACCCACCACCAAUACAUGUAAGUCA